CGCGCCCGGACCCGCGGCGCGCCCCAGUGACGCGGUCCCGCCGCUGCCAGGCCCGCUCCGGCCGGAAGCGUGGUGACGUCACCGGGCGGCUCGGGCUCCAGCCCCGCCCCCGACUCCUCCCCGACACUGAAGCAGAAACUGCGCGCGCAGAGUAGGUUUAUUGAACUACAGACAACAUGCGGCCCCGGCAGCGGCGGGGCAGACGUGGAGGCGGCGGGAGGGGGUCCGGUUCAGGACGCAGAGCCGGGACUUAGCCACUCGGACAGAUUGGAGAUUUCCUGCAGCCACAGCGCGUCCUGCGGGAGGAAAGGGGGCCCGGGAAAAAUCAUCAUUUGUCAAAGGUGUGGCUUAGAGUCAGCUUAGAGGAGGGAAGACCUCAAGAGCCCAGAAGAAGUGAAGGCAGCGGGGAUGGAGGAGUCAGAAGUAUUCAUAAGGCCAAAUUGACAAGCCUUGGUAGUAGACUGGAUAUGAAACAUUAGAAUGGGGGGCAUCUCAAACGAAUCUCAGGUUUCAGAUGUGAAAAACUGGAUAGGUUGUGCUAGUAGUCAUGACAGAGACUGAAGAAAGAAGAGCUGAUUUUGGGUGUGUGUGCAGAGGGCAAGAUAUCAGGAAAAAGGAAAUUGAGGUACCAGUGGGACCACCAUAUGUAGCAGCCUAGUGAGCAGAUAUAUCUCCCACCUAACACUCAGGAGAGACCUGGAAUGGUCAUACCAGCUGAGGAGUCUUCUGCCCAGAGGCAGGGGUCAACGCCUGGGAUGGAAGAGAGCAGCUAGGGAGGGACUGCAGUAUGAGCACUAUUUGGGGGUGGCCAGAGGAAGCUAGUCGAAGAGAGAAGAGAUGGGGAGAACCUGAUGAGUCAUAGUCUCACAGUGCCAAGCUCUGCAAAUAGUCCAGGUGUGAUAAAGAUAAAUGCACAGUCAUCAAUUUGGUAAUUAAGAGGACUUCCCAAACAAGAGACUUUGCAGUUCAGAGGCCACAGGGAAAGCAAGUGCCCUGGGUUAGGGAGAGAAUGAAAGAAAGAGAGGGAAACAGUGUAGCUUGCUUUUUUGAGAACCUUGAUUGAGAUGUGAUGGAGAGAGAUAGGUGGGAGAAGUUCAAGAUCAUGGGAGAUAUCCUUUUGAAGAUGGACCUCCUGAGGGAAAGGAACUCAGAAAAGAAGUUGAAGGUGCAGAGAUGAUAACGUGCUACCAUGAAAGCAGUAAGGAUAAUGCCACCCCUUAGCCUGGAGGGGGUGAGUCCCUAUGCUGAUAAGGUUCUGGCAGUGGGGAGAGUACAAACUGGGUGAGUUUACUGAAAAAAAGAGAUUAAUAAGUGAAGUAGGAGGCUAAAUCAGGAGGACGAGGCUUGGUAGUUUUUUAAAAGAAUGGAGUGGCGGGCUUCCCUGGUGGUGCAGUGGUUGAGAGUCCGCCUGCCGAUGCAGGGGACACGGGUUCGUGCCCCGGUCCAGGAGAAUCCCACAUGCCACAGAGCAGCUGGGCCCGUGAGCCAUGGCCGCUGAGCCUGUGCGUCCGGAGCCUCUGCUCCGCAGCGGGAGAGGCCACAACGGUGAGAGGCCCUCGUACCACAAAAAAAAAAAAAAGGAUGGAGUGGCCACUGAGGAGAAGGCCAGGAAGACAAUGGAAAGAAUUGACAAACUGAAGGCUCCUCAGGGAAUGGACCACAGGUGUACAGUGGCAU